AAAAAAAAAAACAAACAAACAAAAAAAACAACAUGAGUUCAAAUCCUGAAAUGAGUUCAAAUUCUGACCCUGCUCUUAAUAGAUGUACGACCUUUGAUGCCUCAGUUUUGCUCAUUGGUAAAAUGGAGAUAGUAAUAUUAUUUAUCUCAUAUGGCUGUUUUGAAAGUUAGAUGUGUCUGUAUAGUGCUCAGCACAGAGCCUAGAACAGAAUAAGUAUCAGUAAAUAUUAGCUAUUACUAACUGGUAUGCUUAUGCCCCACUCUCUGGUAGCACUUACUGUAGAAUUGUGGCCAGGGAGGCAAGAAGUAAGAUAAUAGCUUGUCAAUGUUUCUGAGUACACAGCACUUAGGUCUCUAUUACAGCAGGCCAGUUGGGUGGUCAAGUACAUCCUUGGACUGCAACACAACAUGUGCACAGAUGGAAACUAGGAUUGAUUAACUCCUGAGCAUUCUGCAUUGGAAUUAAGGGGGAUGAUUAUUGGGUCUCCCCAAGUACACAAUUCCAUAUGAAUCUCUGUGGCUGUUAUUAAACUCUGGAUUGGAGGCUAGUUUCACCCAGGCGAUGAUAGAAAUUGGGGGUUGGGGGUUGGGUGUUGGGAGCUGGAGCAUGGAAUGUGUGAGACAGGAAAACAGUAUGGGUAGGGACGAAAAGCCAUUGAUAAAAACAGCCGUUUGCCCCCCUUCCCUUCCCUGCUUAGAUUCUGGAAGACUCAGAGCUCUCUGGUCUCUGCUGCUGUGUUGCUGCCUGUUAGCGUGAUUGUCGCUGUUGCCAGAUGAGGAGUAAGUACUGACACUAGAGAAAGAGCAGAAGGUGAAGCCAAGUAGCAGCUGACUGUAUCCAGCAUAUUUCAUUGUUCAUCUGAAAGCUGAGACUUUCCCAGCACACUUGUGGGGGAAUAUUCCACUUUUAAAUGGAAAGAAGCCAUAAAUGUCAGCUAGAAGAUACCUGGGAGAGGAUCCAAUAAGAUUCUUUAUUUCAGGGGUGAGGAGAGAUCAGAAGUUAAGUGCUUAUCAAAUUCAGAGAUACAACUACAGAUCUAACCUUGUAUGAAAGAGAGAUUGUCUCUUUAGUCCUCUAGCUUCCGCAUCUUUCAAUGUCCUUACCAUCGACCUUCAUCCUCUUGCCCUGCAAGAUGUUUCUGAAACUGCCUCCCCAGCUCUCCACAUGAUUCAGCCUCUUCACCCUGCCCUAACCCCUAAAUGGACCUGCAGUCAAUCUCUGGACUGCUUCCCAGAUGCAUACUUGGUUUCAAGGUCUUUAUUGGUUUGCUCUUGUUCAGUGAUUGUAUCCCCUCUCUCUGUCAAUAGAUGUUUCACUGACUGUAGCUAAAAUAAUUUUGUUUUGCCUUUUUUAUUCCCUCAUGUUCUGACUCCAUACUUCAUAUUAAUUACAGGAUUGGCCAUAAAGGGUACCCAGAGUAUACCUGGCAUGGCCCAUAAAGAUGAAAAAGUCCAUUGUUAGAUCAUUUUCAUUUGUUUAAAAUAACACCAAAUAAUUGACCUCUCAAAGGUCAACUCUAAUUUCAUUUAAAAAUCUAAAAUGAUAAGCCUAAAAUAUAUUUAAUGCUAUUUUAAAAUAUAUAUUUUCUUGAGGUACAUGAAAAUUAUAUAGGCUACUAUUUAUUGGUCAUUUGAUGCCAGAUACUGAACUAAAUGCUUCACAUAUGUCAUAAAGUAUUAUCCAUAAUACACCUGGAAAAGUAUCAUUAUCUUCAUCUAACACAAAUGGAAACAAAGGCUCAGAGAAGUUAAACAACUGUUCAAGGUUGCUUUUUCUAAUGAAUAGCUUGUGCUCUUGUUAUAAUAUCAAGUGGCCUCCGUCCAUUAUAUGCAACAGUUUUGGCUCUAAUUUUUAUCUUAGAUGUGAAUACAACAUAAUGAAUAUAUAAUGAAUUAGCAUUUUAUGAGUCUUGAGCAAAGCAACUGUUAGUUAUUUGUUACUGUGUAACAAAUUAUCACAACAUUUAGUUGCUUUAAAAAGCAAUUUUUAAAAAUAGUUUCUGUGGGCCAAUAAUCUGGGAAUGGCUUUACUGGAUUCUCUGGGUCAAGGUUUCUCACAAGGCUGCAAUCAGGGCUUCAAUUGGGUUGCAGUCAUCUCAAGCCUGCUUCCAAGUUCAACUGCUUCCAAAUUCACUCGUGUGGUUGUUGGUAGGCCUCAGUUUCUCACAUGCUGGUGAACUGAGGUCCUCAGAUCCUCCCUAGUUGUUGGCUGGUAGCUGCCUGUAGGGGGUUGAAUGGUCGCCCCCAAAGAUAAGAGGGCCUAUUCUCUGGAUCUGUGAAUGUUAUCUUGUAUGGUUUAUUAGUCUGUUCUCAUGCUGCUAAUAAAGACAUACCUGAGACUGGAUAAUUUAUAAAUAAAAGAGAGAUUUGAUGGACUCAUA
rnacentral:lncRNA from 1 species